rnacentral:rRNA from 1 species
AACGAACGCUGGCGGCAUGCCUAACACAUGCAAGUCGAACGAGACCUUCGGGUCUCUUGGCGCACGGGUGCGUAACGCGUGGGAACCUGCCCUUAGGUUCGGAAUAACUCCCCGAGAGGGGUGCUAAUACCGGAUAAUGUCUUCGGACCAACGAUUUAUCGCCUUUGGAUGGGCCCGCGUUGGAUUAGCUAGUUGGUAGGGUAAAAGCCUACCAAGGCGAAGAUCCAUAGCUGGUCUGAGAGGAUGAUCAGCCACACUGGGACUGAGACACGGCCCAGACUCCUACGGGAGGCAGCAGUGGGGAAUAUUGGACAACGGGCGAAAGCCUGAGCCAGCAAUGCCGUGUGAGUGAUGAAGGCCUUAGGGUUGGAAAGCUCUUUUACCCGGGAUGAUAAUGACAGUACCGGGAGAAUAAGCUACGGCUAACUCCGUG